CAAAUACUCCCUCCGUCCCAUAUUAAGUGACUCAAAUUUGUCCAAAUAUGAAUGUAUCUAUGCCUAAAAAGCGUCUAGAUACAUGUAAUAGAAAGUCACUUAAUAUGGGAUGGAGGGAGUAGAUG
rnacentral:pre_miRNA from 1 species